GCGGGAAUAGCUCAGUGGUAGAGCGUGACCUUGCCAAGGUUAAGGCCGAGGGUUCAAUCCCCUUUUCCCGCU
rnacentral:tRNA from 2 species